rnacentral:lncRNA from 1 species
AUGGGUGCGGGAUACUGGUCUCCCAACACCCUUAACUGCAGGAUAUGUGUCCUACAGCACCCACGGGGUGUUGGGGUGCCCACGUCCCGCACCCAUGGGUGCCACCUGUGUCCCCUGUCGUGCUGUGGGUUCCCGGUGGGUGCAGGGACAGCUGCUGACCACGCCUCCAUGUCUCUCAUCCCUCCUCCCUUUCUCUGCUCUCCCUUCCCCCGUCCCCUGCUUUGUCCCUCUGUCCCUUUGUCCCUCUGUCCCUUUGUCCCUCUGUCCCUUUGUUCCUCUGUCACCUCCCCCCCUCCCCCAAAUCCUUGUCCCCUUCUCCUCUGUCCCAUCUUGUCCCCAUCCCCAUGUCCCCAUCCCUCUCCUCCUUGUCCCCGUCCCCAUUCCUCAUCCCACCCCUUUUCCAUUGUCCCCAUGUCCCCUUGUCCCCUCUUCCCUUGUCCCCCGUCCCCAUUCCCUGUCCCAUCCCCUCUUCAUUGUCCCCAUCUCACGUCACCACGUCCCCAUCCCUUCUUUCCUGUCCCCUUGUCCCCGUUCCCAUGUCCCGUUGUCCCCACCCCUCCUUCCUUGUCCCCUGUCCCCAUUCCCUGUCCCAUCCUCCUUUCAUUGUCCCCAUCCCAUAUCCCUUUGUCCCCACUGUUCACUUGUCCCCCAUCUCUGUCCCUGUGCUCAUCCCUGUCCCCACCCCACUGUCCCCCAUCCCUGUCCCCAUCCCUGUCCUCAUUCCUGUCUCCCUGUCCCCAUCCUGUCACCACCCCACUGUCCCCCAUCCCUGUCCCCAUCCUGUCCCCCUGUCCCCACCCCUCUGUCCCCGCAGAUCCGGCUGCUGCGGGGUCCGUUGUCCUUCGGGGCGGUGGGGCUGGGGACGCGCCUUGGGGACGAGGACUCGUUGGGUUCCUCCGACGAGGAGCUGCCACCCUUUGCUCUGCCCCACGGGGACAUCGGAGACCUCGGGGACCUCGGGGACAUGGGGGACAGCAGCGACAGCGAAACCGAGGGGGCACCCACGGCACCGUGACCCUACGGGGGACUUCGGGGACGUGGGGGACACCGGAGGCACCGAGACCCACGGGGACGUGGGGGAACUUUGGGGACAUUGGGGGGACGUCGGGGACGUCGGAUUGUGGGGGGGUACCUAAGGGACCCUCGGGGCCACCCAGGGGGACACUGAGGACACGGUGA